UUUUUUUUUUUUUUUACAUAUAGGUUUCGUGCAUGAAGAAAUGAAGCUGCCGACUUUGUUGUUGGUCGAUCGGCUCAAUGCACACUUUGAGGAAGACAAAAAAGGAGAUUUGUCGACGGUAAAAAAGUAGAUUGAAAGUUGGGGAAAAAAUAUACGCCUGUUCUUGCGAAAGAUCUCGUUGGAUGGAGAUGAUGGAACGGAAUCUUCGACGGUUCGUUGACUCUGGACGCAUAUUAAAUUUCCACUUGCAACGUAUAAAAAUAUGAAUAAAAAGAACCUCAAGGUUAACUGCUGGCUGUCGUAACAAUCCACGGAUGAAAUGACCGAUCGUUUGAAAAUACGCUAGUUAAAAAAUUCUUUUGCCAUUCUGUAAUUAUUUUGCUGCUGAUAUCGACUCAUGACCCGAACGAAUCGAGCUUUCCAUCCCCGGUAACGUGACUUAUUCAAGUGGGUCACAAAAGAAAACUCGAGACGUCGUGUCAGUUGAAAUCCUGUAUUUUUGAUUAAGUCUAGAAUGGAAUAAUAAAUCUGAUUCUUUUUUAAUCUAUCUUUGCAAAUUCUUUUUUUUUUUCUUCAUGGACGAAGAUAUAAUUAA